CAAAAAGUAGCUUAAUAAAAGCAUUCAACUUACAAUUGAAAAACGUUAGAAUAAACUAGCCUUUUUGC
rnacentral:tRNA from 1 species